GGGUCGGUCUUGGGACUGAUGCUCUUCAACAUCUUCAUCAAUGACAUAGACAAGGGCAUUGAGUACACCUGCAGCAAGUUUGCGGAUAACACCAAGCUGAGUGGUGCAGUAGAUACACUGGAAGGAAGGGAAGCCAUCCAGAGGGACCUGGACAGGUUGGAGAAAAAGCUUCCACCUCAGCUGUGCCAUCAAAAUGGGGGAGAAAUACAUGUGAAGCUGGUGGUAGAAAAUCUUUUUGUGAAUUUCUUCAGAAGUGAGUAUGCUUUUCAAGGUAAAUCACAUGUCCUUCUUGCAUGUUGUAAAUUAAUUAUCUUUUUAAAAUCACUUGAUAUUUCAGAAUGCAAUCCAUUAGCUACCUGUUUUCUAAGUUGGUUUAUGAAGGUUAUAUACACCUCCUACCAGGAAUUUUUUUCUCUUCUAAUUUUCACUUAUUUGAUUUUAAUGACAGAAUUUUACUAUGUAUUAUGUUGUCCAGUUAGCAUACCUAAAAGCAUUUCCAAUCUUGACUUUUAACUUUUUAAAAGCUUUUUGUUGUUGGCAGAUCAGAGCCUAAGAAAGGCCUUACGUACUUGCAACAAAAUUUGGCAGACAUUUAGUAAAGAAAAUGUUCAGAAUGUUUUCUAGGGCAAGGCACACACCUUAGCCUCAAAGAACAUGAAAAAAAUUGUUAUUUCUUUCUAUAGGGCUGGAUAGAAGAAGAGAUAUGGAAACAGAAUUUACAUAAGCAGAGAAAAAUUGCCCUAUUUCUAUGUCUUUAAAUAUGUCUCCAUUUGACAAAAAAAUUAGUAAAAACUUUCAAUUUUACUGUAGCUCUGCAG
ensembl:lncRNA